UCUCAAACACUCUUAUUCUCUCUACCUGCUUUCGACAGAACUUUUGAAGUGGGCACCCUAGGAAUACCCCGGCAUUCACUUUGACAGAGUUUCUUUAUACUUUGUAGGUAGCGAGACAACCCCAGAAUUCACCAGAAAGUGUCACCAUAUGUCCAUAUGAAUGGUAAAUGGUCAACUUUGCUCCAAAAAUUUCCUUUAAAAUUGAAGCACAAGUCUGUAAUAUAGGA
rnacentral:misc_RNA from 1 species